CAGUCGCCACGGGAAUACGAAGGGUGCAAGCGUUAAUCGGAAUUACUGGGCGUAAAGCGUGCGUAGGCGGUGAGUUAAGUCUGCUGUGAAAUCCCCGGGCUCAACCUGGGAAUGGCAGUGGAUACUGGCUCGCUAGAGUGUGGUAGAGGAUAGUGGAAUUUCCGGUGUAGCAGUGAAAUGCGUAGAGAUCGGAAGGAACAUCUGUGGCGAAGGCGACUAUCUGGGCCAACACUGACACUGAGGCACGAAAGCGUGGGGAGCAAACAGGAUUAGAUACCCCAGUAGUCCCUGUCUCUUAUAA
rnacentral:rRNA from 1 species